CGGCGACCGGCGCACGGGUGAGUAACACGUAUGUAACCUGCCCUAUGCAGGGGGAUAACCCGGAGAAAUCCGGCCUAAUACCGCGUAACACCUUUUGGGAGCAUUCCCGGGAGGUUAAAGGAGAGAUCCGGCAUAGGAUGGACAUGCGUCGCAUUAGGUAGACGGCGGGGUAACGGCCCACCGUGCCGACGAUGCGUAGGAGUUCUGAGAGGAAGGCCCCCCACACUGGUACUGAGACACGGACCAGACUCCUACGGGAGGCAGCAG
rnacentral:rRNA from 1 species